rnacentral:tRNA from 1 species
AGGAUAGUAGUUAAAAAUAACAUCUAAUUUGCAAUUAGGAAGAGCUUAAUAAAGCCUAUCUUA